CUAAUACCGCAUACGAACUAAUGAUGAAAGUGGGGGAUCGCAAGACCUCAUGCUCGUGGAGCGGCCGAUAUCUGAUUAGCUAGUUGGUAGGGUAAAAGCCUACCAAGGCAUCAAUCACUAACUGGUCUGAGAGGACGACCAGCCACACUGGAACUGAGACACGGUCCAGACUCCUACAGGAGGCAGCAGUGGGGAAUUUUGGACAAUGGGCAAAAGCCUGAUCCAGCAAUGCCGCGUGAGUGAAGAAGGCCUUCGGGUUGUAAAGCUCUUUUGUCAGGGAAGAAACGGUGAGAGCUAAUAUCUCUUGCUAAUGACGGUACCUGAAGAAUAAGCACCGGCUAACUACGUGCCAGCAGCCGCGGAAAUACGUACGGUGCAAGCGUUAAUCGGAAUUACUGGGCGUAAAGCGUGAGCAGGCGGUUUUGUAAGUCUGAUGUUAACUCCCCGGGCUCAACCUGGGAA
rnacentral:rRNA from 1 species